GCUGGGAAUGUAGCUCAAUGGUAGAGCACCUCUCUAGCAUGUGUGAAGCCCUAGGUUCAAUCCCCAGCACAGCA
rnacentral:tRNA from 1 species